AUUGAACGCUGGCGGCAGGCCUAACACAUGCAAGUCGAGCGGAUGACGGGAGCUUGCUCCUUGAUUCAGCGGCGGACGGGUGAGUAAUGCCUAGGAAUCUGCCUGGUAGUGGGGGACAACGUUUCGAAAGGAACGCUAAUACCGCAUACGUCCUACGGGAGAAAGCAGGGGACCUUCGGGCCUUGCGCUAUCAGAUGGGCCUAGGUCGGAUUAGCUAGUUGGUGAGGUAAUGGCUCACCAAGGCGACGAUCCGUAACUGGUCUGAGAGGAUGAUCAGUCACACUGGAACUGAGACACGGUCCAGACUCCUACGGGAGGCAGCAGUGGGGAAUAUUGGACAAUGGGCGAAAGCCUGAUCCAGCCAUGCCGCGUGUGUGAAGAAGGUCUUCGGAUUGUAAAGCACUUUAAGUUGGGAGGAAGGGCAGUAAGUUAAUACCUUGCUGUUUUGACGUUACCGACAGAAUAAGCACCGGCUAACUCUGUGCCAGCAGCCGCAGUAACAC
rnacentral:rRNA from 1 species